CCUACGGGAGGCAGCAGUGAGGAAUAUUGGUCAAUGGGCGCGAGCCUGAACCAGCCAAGUAGCGUGAAGGAUGACUGCCCUACGGGUUGUAAACUUCUUUUAUAAAGGAAUAAAGUGCGGCACGUGUGCCUUUUUGUAUGUCCUUUAUGAAUAAGGAUGGGCUAACUCCGUGCCAGCAGCCGCGGUAAUCCGGAGGUGCCGAGCGUUAUCCGGAUUUAUUGGGUUUAACGGGUGCGUAGGCGGCCUUUUAAGUCAGCGGUGAAAGUCUGUGGCUCAACCAUAGGAUUGCCGUUGAAACUGGGAGGCUGGAGUAUAUUUGAGGCAGGCGGAAUGCGUGGUGUAGCGGUGAAAUGCUUAGAUAUCACGCAGAACCCCGAUGGCGAAGGCAGCCUGCCAGGCUGUGACUGACGCUGAUGCACGAAAGCGUGGGGAUCAAACAGGAUUAGAUACCCCAGUAGUC
rnacentral:rRNA from 1 species